rnacentral:rRNA from 1 species
GCGAACGCUGGCGGCGUGCUUAACACCUGCCAGUCGCACGGAAAGGCCCUGCUUUUGUGGGGUGCUCGAGUGGCGAACGGGUGAGUAACACGUGAGUAACCUGCCCUUGACUUUGGGAUAACUUCAGGAAACUGGGGCUAAUACCGGAUAGGAGCUCCUGCUGCAUGGUGGGGGUUGGAAAGUUUCGGCGGUUGGGGAUGGACUCGCGGCUUAUCAGCUUGUUGGUGGGGUAGUGGCUUACCAAGGCUUUGACGGGUAGCCGGCCUGAGAGGGUGACCGGCCACAUUGGGACUGAGAUACGGCCCAGACUCCUACGGGAGGCAGAAGUGGGGAAUAUUGCACAAUGGGCGGAAGCCUGAUGCAGCAACGCCGCGUGCGGGAUGACGGCCUUCGGGUUGUAAACCGCUUUCGCCUGUGACGAAGCGUGAGUGACGGUAAUGGGUAAAGAAGCACCGGCUAACUACGUG